rnacentral:tRNA from 1 species
GGGCCCGUAGCUUAGUCUGGUUAGAGCGCCCGGCUCAUAACCGGGUGAUCAUCGGUUCAAAUCCGGUCGGGCCCA